CGCGACAUAUCAUAUCAAAAUCGUACCUUGGUGAAAUUGAUCGGCGCCACCUGUUUUAACGACAAGGAUGACUAUUAAUACCACGCCAAGGAAACCAGCAAAGAAUCAAAGCUAGAAUUUUCCAGCGAUGAGGAAGAGUUGAUUACCAGAAUGUAUAAUCUAGUUGGUGAAAGGUGGGCUUUGAUAGCUGGGAGGAUCCCAGGAAGAACAGCCGAAGAAAUCGAAAAGUACUGGACUGCCACAUACUCAACAAGUGACUGAAAUGAAGUUAACGUUAGCUUCAUAGAGUACAAUUAUAUUGGUCAUCUGCAAGUUUUCCUUC